rnacentral:rRNA from 1 species
UACGUAGGGCGCAAGCGUUGUCCGGAAUUAUUGGGCGUAAAGAGCUCGUAGGCGGUCUGUCGCGUCUGGUGUGAAAUCUCAUGGCUCAACUGUGAGCUUGCAUCGGGUACGGGCAGACUAGAGUGCUGUAGGGGAGACUGGAAUUCCUGGUGUAGCGGUGGAAUGCGCAGAUAUCAGGAGGAACACCGAUGGCGAAGGCAGGUCUCUGGGCAGUUACUGACGCUGAGGCGCGAAAGCUAGGGGAGCAAACGGG